CAGCCGCCGCGGUAAUACGGAGGGGGCUAGCGUUGUCCGGAAUUAUUGGGCGUAAAGGGCUCGCAGGCGGUUUCUUAAGUCUGAUGUGAAAGCCCCCGGCUCAACCGGGGAGGGUCAUUGGAAACUGGGAAACUUGAGUGCAGAAGAGGAGAGUGGAAUUCCACGUGUAGCGGUGAAAUGCGUAGAGAUGUGGAGGAACACCAGUGGCGAAGGCGACUCUCUGGUCUGUAACUGACGCUGAGGAGCGAAAGCGUGGGGAGCGAACAGGAUUAGAUACCCCGGUAGUCCCUGUCUCUUAUAC
rnacentral:rRNA from 1 species